ACUGCUAAUUGGUGACACCGAGU
rnacentral:piRNA from 1 species